AUUUAGCUUACUAGUCCCAAAUAGGACGAAACGCACGUCUUGGAU
rnacentral:hammerhead_ribozyme from 1 species